CCUCCGCGCCGGACCCGCCACCGUGCACAGCCGCUCAGAUUUGCAGGACGCCGCUGCUUCCUCCACCAAUCUCCAGGUCAGAGAUCCAAGCCCAGCGAGGAGCAGGACUCCCGCCUAACUUUGGAGAGAAGCUUAGUUUGAAUAAGAAAUGAGGACGUUUGAUACCCACAGCCCUCUCUUGUGACGUCAUAAAGUCAAGACUACAUUUCCCACAACCCAGCGCGAAGGAUUUCCAGAAACUCAAAGAAGAGGAUUUGUACAGUUCCUUGUGUCCUGCUCAGCUGUGAAAGAGAAACAAACUUGCUUGUUAUGGUUUCAAGAAAGUUGGUGUGGGAGGAAGACAGGUGUGUGCCUGAGUUUUGGAGAGACCCUGUGACUCUUCCAACAAUGAGAUUGAAAGAAACUGGUUGGAAGCCUCUUAAGGGGCAGAGAGAAGUGCUCAGAUCCAGUGAAUGCACAGAUUACAGCAGCUCUUCAUGCUUUUCAGAGCCUCUUCAGAAGUGUGGAAUCCAGGCUCUCAUUUGGAUACAGAAUUGCUGUGAGCUGACCCUUCCAGGGAAGCAUCAAUCUCAUUGCAUUCAACAUCCGAACUCACUACUUUUAAGGACUCCACUCCACAUUGCCAUCAGUGAGGUAGAAUGCUGUAGUUGCUGACGGUGGAAGAGGAUGCCUCAUCCUCAGAGCUGACUUCCCAGCGGACUCCAGAGAAAGCCCCUCUUCACCAUCUGCUUGUCCGCUUCCCAAGAACUGUGAGCAUGAGAGGCAGGCCUCCAGCUACUGAAUGGGACUAGCGGCCAUUUCCUACGGUGCAGGAAGCUCGUGUCUGCCCCACAGCCCUCAUACUGGAUGCUCCUUACUGACUUCACCUCAUCUCCAGAUGCUCCUGUGGUCUCUAUGUACAGACUUGUCUUGGCAAAGCAUAGUUUGUGUCUUUAUAAGAGAGCCUUCUGAAAUUCUAGCUACAGUUAGAAUCAAUCAAUAGAUACCACACUUUCAAACCGGAAGCAAGUGAAAAUUGCUCAUCCUGGUUAAUUACACAUUUUCCUGAUGCCGGUGCCCACACUCUAUUUUGGGCAUUGCGUGAUUUACAUGUUACUUUGAAUAUUUCUAUAAGCCAUGUAUUUAAAACCAGACUAAUAAUGCAAAAAGAUUUAUAUUAAGCUCGGAGCCUCUAACUUAUGCACACGUAGUUAAAUUCUUAGCACAUACUGCCUCUAACAAAGCUUAUGUUCUGAACGUUUUUAUUUUUGAAUAUUAAUAAGAUAAAGCAGUGUGCUAAGUCUUAGCAUGCAUACAAAAUCUAUCUUGAGCAAUCUGGAGUAAUUUAAGAGAAACUGUCUUGCACAUUUUGUAACUUUUUCAAAGUAGAGAAGCACUGCAGAAGAGAAGGGCCUUGGGUUUUCUCAGAGCAGUGGUUCCUGGCACCCCCCAUGCUGCAAGCCUUUCACACAGUCCUGUGUUGGGAUGACCCACAGCUGUAAAAUUAGUUCAUCGCUACUUCUCAACUGCAAUUUUGCUACUGUUAUGAAUUGUAAUGUAAAUAUUGGAAAUGCAGGAUAUCUGCAGACCUGAGCGGUCACAUCCCACAGGUUGAGAACCACCAUCUCAGAGGCACACCAGCCAUUGCUCCUUUGCUAUAUAGAAGCUUUCUGAUCUGAGACAAUCUAUCUGUUCAGCAGUUACCUGUGAUUUGUGAAGCAUGUUCAAAUUAUUAAUUAUUGCAAAAGAUUGUAAUUUCUUUGGUGCUCUAAGCUCCUUUUUCAAAAAUCAGUUGUCUUGCACAUGUAGCCUUGGCUGUCCUGGACUUGCUUUGUAGACCAGGCUGGCCUCAAACUCAGAGAUCUGCCUGCCUCUGCCUCCCCAGUGCUGGGAGCAUGUGACACCGCUCCUGUCUGUGGCUUUACUUCUUUUACUUUCUUCUGUGGUCUUGUUCUACAUAUCUUGGUUUUUUGACAGUGCUACAGUUUUGUAGUAUAUUUUAGAGCCUGAUGAUCCAAUAGCACUUGAUUUGUUCAUAAUGCAUUCCAUUUAAAAACUGAUUAAAAGGUUAUAAAAUAAGAAUAGGCUUCAAAAAUAUGUGCAAAAUGCAUAGGAACAAAAUUCUAAACUGUUGCUAAGGGAUAUCUAUAAAAUUUGAGUAAAAAACAUCCUGUUUUUAUAUCACAAAAUGUUACGUUAUAGAAACCAGUUAAUAAUAAUGGGUCCAUGGAGCUGAUGGGCUAUCAGUAGCCGUACAAAGAAUUGUCUCUACAGGAACAGGCUAAGGAAUCUGCUAGCAAGUCAAACGUUAUCAAACAAUAUGUUUCCAAAACUUAAGACAGGGCCUGGGCAGAUGAGGACAUGACUUUGACCCCUAGAAUUCAUGCUAUUUUUUUUUAACUUUCCUAUAUGUGUACUGUAUUCAUAUCAUUUCUCCCCAAACUUCUAUUCCUCCAACUCUUCCCACAUCCCCUCCAAACCUUUUCAAGUUCAUGUGUUCUUUUCCUUUAAUUAUUACUGUUUUGUAUACACACACAUGAUAGGUAAAUAUAAAUAUAAUAUAGAUAUAAAAUAAACAUCCACAAGUAUAUGGCAGAUGUAAUAGAUAGAUAGAUAGAUAGAUAGAUAAGUAGAUAGACAGAGAUAUUAAAUAAAUACAGAAAUGCAAUCUGCUGAGUCCAUCUAGCACUGCUCAUUUGUCCACAUGUUAGGGCUGACCACUUGGUAUGAGGUAACCAAUUGGGAAGUUUAUCCCUGAAGAAAAUUGAUUCUCUUUUAGCAGUUACUAAUUGCCUAUGGGCCCUAUGGACUCACCCCGCCCCCAUGAAAGCGUGCACUGGUAAUCAUAAUAUUGAAGAGGGAGACACAAACACAUCCCAGGGGCUUUCUAGCCAGUCGACAUGCUUGGUGAAUUCCGAGUCAGUGAGAGAUCCUCAUGCAUGCACUCACAGUACACAUCCCACACCCAUUCAUACAUACUCGAUAGAACUGAAGACAGGACAGCUGGGACUGGAAUAUAGAUUUUCAAAUUUUUUUAUUUAUUACAAUUUAUUCACUUUGUAUCCUAGCUGUAGCCUCCUCCCUUAUCUUGUCCCAAUCCUGUCCUCCCUCCCUCUUCUCCUGCCCCUUCUGCAGUCCACUCAUAGAGGAGGUCCUCCUCUCCUUCUAUCUGACCCUAGUCUAUCAGGUUUCAUCAGGACUGGCUGCAUUAUCUUCCUCUGUGGCCUGGUAGGGCUGCUCCCCACCCCACCCCCCGCCCGCCAUCAGGGGGAGGUGAUCAAAGAGCCAGUCACUGAGUUCAUGUCAGAGACAGUCCCUAUUUCCCUUACUAUGGAACCCACUUGGACACUGAGCUGCCAUGGGCUACAUCUGUGCAGGGGUUCUAGGUUAUCUCCAUGAAUAGUCCUUGGUUGAAGUAUCAGUCUCAGAAAAGACCCCUGUGCCCUGACUUUUUGGUUCUGUUGCUCUCCUUGUGGAGCUCCUGUCCCCUCCAGGUCUUUCUAUCUCCUCCUUCUUUCAUAAGAUUUCCUGAACUCUACUCGUAGUUUGGCUAGAGUCUCUGCAUUGGCUUUCAGAGGACCUCUGUGGUAGGCUCCUGUCCUGUUUCCUGCUUUCUACAUUUUCCGAGGUCUAUCCUGCUUGCCUUUCUGAAUGAGGAUUGAUCAUCUUACCCACAGUUCUCCUUCUUGCUUAGCUUCUUUAGUAAUCCAACUAAAAAAUGGGGUACAGAACUAAACAGAAUUCUCAAUAGAGGAAUAUCAAAUGGCAGAGAAACGCUUAAAGAAAUGCUCAAUGUCCUUAGUCAUCAGGGAAAUGCAAGUCAAAACAACCCUGAGAUUUCACCUCACACCCAUUAGAAUGGCUAAGAUCAAAAACUCAAGUGACAACACAUGCUGAAGAGGAUGUGGAGAAAGAGGAACCCUCUUUUAUUGCUGGUGGGAAUGUAAACUUGUAUAACCACUUUGGAAAUCAAUCUGGCACUUUCUUAGACAGUUAGGAAUAGUGCUACAUCAAGAUCCAGCUAUCCUAGGCAUAUAUCCAAAAGAUGCUCAAGCAUACAACAGGACAUUUGCUCAACCAUGUUUGUAAUAGCCAGAACCUGAAAACAACCCAAAUGUCCCUCAGUUGAGGAAUGGAUACAGAAAUUGUGGUACAUUUACACAAUGGAACACUACUCAGCAAUUCAAAGCAAAGAAAUCAUGAAAUUUGCAGACAAAUGGUGGGAACUAGAAAAGAUCAUCCUGACUGAGGUAUCCCAGAAGCAGAAAGACACACAUGGUAUAUACUCACUCAUAAGUGGAUAUUGGACAUAUCAUAUAGGAUAAACAUACAAAAAUCUGUACACCUACAGAAGCAAAGCAAGAUAGAAUAUUGAUUUUAAGCACAUAAUUGAAAUGAUAAUGAUUAAAACUAUGUGGCAUUUAAGUUCUUUUUGUGUGUGUGUGUGUUUUUUUUCUGAUACAAGAUUUCUGUGUGUA